UUGGGCAUAAGCUUUUUUUUUUACCGACGAAAUAGUUUUUUACCCACGAAAGCUUACGCCCAAAUAAUUCUGAGGAUAGUAACUAAAAACCUUGAAUCCAUAUGACUUCAGUUUGCAUUAAGGACUUACUGUACCAGAUAACUGGCUGGAAUAAAGGCACACCAGACUGGAUACCCAAGAAGAUGUUAGAGUACUCCCUGAUCUAAAUUGAAUGUAACUGCACCUACCAUGGGAAUUGGUGAAGGCUGAAAGAAACAUUUUCCCUUGAAAAUAUUCCAGAGGAGGAAUUGCCUAUUCAGUAUUUUACUGAGUCUGGAUUAUACAGUGUCACACUGAAGCUGUGAAGUCCAGGGUGGGCCUGAGAAUUUAAAUAAAUUGAAGAGGCCUCAUACCUAAGUUUGUAAAGACAUUAUGACAGUAUUCUUGAGCCAGAGCAGACAGCUGAUUCCUUUCUUCAUGGACCAUUUUCUGCAACUCCAAAAUAUGGUGCUGAAGUAGAAAGCCUCUUUCCUGUUCCAGCCUCUGGACUAUGAACAUAUACUAAUGGGAGCAUUCUAACCAAGGGAAUGAGCACUUUAAGGUAAUCUGGAGCCUUAAUAUUUCCUUGAUCCUUUGCAGAUGGACUUAUGAGUUGGAUAUGGUACAGAGACUGUUCUAGCCUCAUUGAUUGCUGAUUUCUCCAUUGCAAUGGACAAAGAUCAGAUGUCUGCUGACUUUUUCACCAGUCAGCAGCCUUUGAU